rnacentral:rRNA from 1 species
AUUGAACGCUGGCGGCAUGCCUUACACAUGCAAGUCGAACGGUAACAGGUCUUCGGAUGCUGACGAGUGGCGAACGGGUGCGUAAUACAUCGGAACGUGCCCGAUCGUGGGGGAUAACGAGGCGAAAGCUUUGCUAAUACCGCAUACGAUCUACGGAUGAAAGUGGGGGAUCUUCGGACCUCGCGCGGACGGAGCGGCCGAUGGCAGAUUAGGUAGUUGGUGGGAUAAAAGCUUACCAAGCCGACGAUCUGUAGCUGGUCUGAGAGGAUGAUCAGCCACACUGGGACUGAGACACGGCCCAGACUCCUACGGGAGGCAGCAGUGGGGAAUUUUGGACAAUGGGCGAAAGCCUGAUCCAGCCAUGCCGCGUGCAGGAUGAAGGCCUUUGGGUUGUAAACUGCUUUUGUACGGAACGAAAAGCCUCUUUCUAAUAAAGAGGGGUCAUGACGGUACCGUAAGAAUAAGCACCGGCUAACUACGUG